rnacentral:lncRNA from 1 species
GUUAUUCAUCCGCUCUGGCGCCAGUGCCUUCUGCCUUUCCCCACAGCCGGAAUGGCCAUGAAAGGUGCCCCUCCUAUCAGUGAGCCAAAAUGCACCUGUGCUGACGUUCCUGGAGUGGGUGACUCACAUGACAGUGUGGCACUUAGCACAAGGUCCUGUGGUGAUUGUUGAUGACUGUAAAAGUCUUGACGGCUGGACAGUGCUUUUCUUCUCUUAAUCCCCAGCACACUAGGAAAUGUUCACUGACAUAAUUGGAAAUUUGUCAUCCAAAUAUGUGAGUACAAUCAUGCAUGAAAAGGCAGCUUAAUUGCCCGAGACCCAGUGGCU